GCUCUGGCAGAGGAGAUCAGCCCUGAAUUCCCAAGUCCUCCCAGUCAGGGGUCAGCACUGAACACAGGCCACAUACCAUGGACUUAUGGCUCAUAUUGGUUUUCUCAGUCCUUGUUUUAAAAGGUGUCCAAAGUGAAGUGCAGUUAUUGGAGUCUGGAGGAGGCUUAGUGCAGCCUGGAAAGUCCCUGAAACUCUCCUGUGCAGCCUCUGGAUUCACCUUUAGUGACUAUGGAAUGAACUGGGUCCGCCAGGCUCCAGGGAAGGGGAUGGAGUGGGUCGCAUACAUUAGUAGAAGUAGUAGCGACAUCUAUUAUAGAGACUCUGUGAAGGGCCGGUUCACAGUCUCCAGAGACAAUGCCAAGAACACUCUGUACCUGGAAAUGAGCAGUCUGAAGUCUGAGGACACAGCCACUUAUUACUGUGCAAGAGACACACUGAGUGAAUGCUACUGUGUCCAGUGUGAGGUGCCACUGUUGGAGCCUGAGGGAGACUUAGUACAGCCUUGGAAGUCCCUGAAACUCUCCUAUGCAGACUCUAGAUUCACCUUCAGUGACUACUGA